GAUGAACGCUGGCGGCGUGCCUAAUACAUGCAAGUCGAGCGAACAGACGAGGAGCUUGCUCCUCUGACGUUAGCGGCGGACGGGUGAGUAACACGUGGAUAACCUACCUAUAAGACUGGGAUAACUUCGGGAAACCGGAGCUAAUACCGGAUAAUAUAUUGAACCGCAUGGUUCAAUAGUGAAAGACGGUUUUGCUGUCACUUAUAGAUGGAUCCGCGCCGCAUUAGCUAGUUGGUAAGGUAACGGCUUACCAAGGCAACGAUGCGUAGCCGACCUGAGAGGGUGAUCGGCCACACUGGAACUGAGCCACGGUCCAGACUCCUACGGGAGGCAGCAGUAGGGAAUCUUCCGCAAUGGGCGAAAGCUUGACGGAGAAACGCCGCGUGAGUGAUGAAGGUCUUCGGAUCGGAAAACUCUGUUAUUAGGGAAGAACAAAUGUGUAAGUAACUAUGCACGUCUUGACGGUACCUAAUCAGAAAGCCACGGCUAACUACGUG
rnacentral:rRNA from 1 species